UACGUAGGGGGCAAGCGUUGUCCGGAUUUAUUGGGCGUAAAGAGCGUGUAGGCGGCCAGACAGGUCCGUUGUGAAAACUCGAGGCUCAACCUCGAGAUGUCGAUGGAAACCGUCUGGCUAGAGUCCGGGAAGAGGAGUGUGGAAUUCCUGGUGUAGCGGUGAAAUGCGCAGAUAUCAGGAAGAACACCUAUGGCGAAGGCAGCACUCUGGGACGGUACUGACGCUGAGACGCGAAAGCGUGGGGAGCGAACAGG
rnacentral:rRNA from 1 species